rnacentral:rRNA from 2 species
CAAGGAAUCUUCCGCAAUGGGCGAAAGCCUGACGGAGCAACGCCGCGUGUGGGAUGACGCCUUUCGGGGUGUAAACCACUUUUCUCAGGGAAGAAGCACUGACGGUACCUGAGGAAGAAGGACCGGCUAACUACGUGACAGCAGCCGCGGUAAUACAUAGGGUCCGAGCGUUGUCCGGAGUUACUGGGCGUAAAGCGCGCGCAGGCGGCGGUGUAAGCAUGGCGUGAAAGCCCCAGGCUUAACCUGGGAGGGUCGUCGUGGACUGCACCGCUUGAGGGCGGUAGGGGCUGGUGGAAUGCCUGGUGUAGUGGUGAAAUGCGUAGAGAUCAGGCGGAACACCCGUGGCGAAGGCGGCCAGCUGGGCCGUCCCUGACGCUGAGGCGCGAAGGCGUGGGGAGCGAACGGG